rnacentral:rRNA from 2 species
UAUAGGAAACCUUGUCUUAAUACGGAACAGUGUUUUAUCCCCCCUGUUCAAACAUAAAAAGGGGGCUCCAGCUACCACUUACGGAAGGACCCGCGGCGCAUUAGCUAGUUGGUGGGGUAACGGCUCACCAAGGCGACGAUGCGUAGCCGACCUGAGAGGGUGAUCGGCCACACUGGGACUGAGACACGGCCCAGAUUCCUACGGGAGGCAGCAGUAGGGAAUCUUCCGCAAUGGACGAAAGUCUGAGGAGCAACGCCGCGUGAACGAUGAAGGUCUUCGGAUCGUAAAGCUCUGUUGUCAGGGAAGAACAAGUACCGUUCGAAUAGUCGU